UUCAGCGCAUGCUAUCCCCUCCUCUGGACAUUAGAUUUGAUUUUUCUUAAUGUUCAACACAACUUUUUAUGUUUUGUAUGGCAGCUAUGACAAGUCUGAGCAGGCAAAGCAGCAUAAUUAUUUUUGAAGGUACCAGAUUGAUACAUGCAGUGCUGUGAUGACAAUUGACUGAUUUCUACUCAGGGCCCAACUCAGAUUCUUAUUCCAGCUAUAUCGUUCAUUGUACUCCGACAGGAGAUUCAUUUGCUGGGGUAGACACCUCCUGACUUGUUUCAGCAGCCUGCUCCCAGGAACCAUCUGUGGCACAGAUUUUAAGAAGGUCUGAGGGCCACGGGCAAAUCAUCACCAGCCUCCCACUGCAGGAGAAGUAGAGCCCAGCAUGGUUACCAACAUCUAGAAAAGAUUUUCAAAGACACCAUUCUGACUGCUGGGCAGAGGAGCCAAUUCUACUAAAGCUCUCUAGAAGGUCAGGUACCAGCCACAUGUAGCCAAAAAGGUAGUAAAUUACCUGAGUUAUUUACAG